rnacentral:rRNA from 1 species
AACGAACGCUGGCGGCAUGCCUAACACAUGCAAGUCGAACGAGACCUUCGGGUCUAGUGGCGCACGGGUGCGUAACGCGUGGGAACCUGCCCUUAGGUUCGGAAUAACUCCCCGAAAGGGGUGCUAAUACCGGAUAAUUUCUUCGGACCAAAGAUUUAUCGCCUUUGGAUGGGCCCGCGUUGGAUUAGCUAGUUGGUAGGGUAAAAGCCUACCAAGGCGACGAUCCAUAGCUGGUCUGAGAGGAUGAUCAGCCACACUGGGACUGAGACACGGCCCAGACUCCUACGGGAGGAAGCAGUGGGGAAUAUUGGACAAUGGGCGAAAGCCUGAUCCAGCAAUGCCGCGUGAGUGAUGAAGGCCUUAGGGUUGUAAAGCUCUUUUACCCGGGAUGAUAAUGACAGUACCGGGAGAAUAAGCGCCGGCUAACUCCGUG